CUGCUGGCUUCAACAAUAUGUUGUGUUCUCCAGCUUUGGGUCAUCUAAUAACCUGAAUCCCUGGGCUCCAGCAAGACAAGAUCAUCUCCGCUUUCCUAUGGGCUGAUGCAAAGUGAUGUCAAUGCCAUGGCUACACAGCCAUGCAACACCACCGUUCUCACAAGUGCAGGCACCAGAUCUGUGUAUGAGCUUAAAAGGACCUUGCAGCCCAUUCCAGUCACUAAGAUGACUACAGCCCUAAUGUGACCCCAACGGUCACAGUGGAAAGAACAACCACACUGCGGAACCCUACCAUGCUACCAAUUCAUAAAAUAAUUAUGUUCCAUCUCAUCUGGAGCUUGCCCAUGGAGUGAUGAAGGUACCAUUUCGGCACAGCAGAAAAGGUGGAUAUUGAGAGCUCAGCCCUCCUCAGACUGAAACCAGCUCCCGGAGGGGGUUCCCUUGAUGAUGAUGAUGAUGAUGUAAAGUGGACCUCCUGUCCAGCAGCCGAUCUUUCCGGGCAAUUAUUUGGAAGUAAUGAAAGUGAAUGCAUGACAUUUAAAAAGAAACCCCUCUGUCAGCAGGAACGCCGCCACAGUCUCCGGCACCUCAGAGAAUACACUUAGCUUGAAAUAAUGUUCAUUUUAGCCAAGUUGUAAAUUACAAGUGUGUCAGGGUCCAGGGGGAUUUAUUACCAUUUGGAAAGAGGUUGCUGGGCUUGUGCGUGACUGAUCAUACGGUGCCCAUUACAAAAUGGCUGUGCUGUGAAGAUCACGGAGAGGGAAAAAAGUACGUUUCUUGUUUCUUUUCAUUUUUCUUUUACGGCUCCUCUCUGGGGACUUCUUGUUGCUCAUGUCCCACAGAAACACCAGUAAUAAAGGGCACAAUGUCGCAA